rnacentral:rRNA from 1 species
GUGAUAGUGGCGACGGGUGAGUACACGUGGGCAAUCUGCCCUGCACUCUGGGACAAGCCCUGGAAACGGGGUCUAAUACCGGAUACGACACGGGACCGCAUGGUCUUCGUGUGGAAAGCUCCGGCGGUGCAGGAUGAGCCCGCGGCCUAUCAGCUUGUUGGUGAGGUAAUGGCUCACCAAGGCGACGACGGGUAGCCGGCCUGAGAGGGCGACCGGCCACACUGGGACUGAGACACGGCCCAGACUCCUACGGGAGGCAGCAGUGGGGAAUAUUGCACAAUGGGCGAAAGCCUGAUGCAGCGACGCCGCGUGAGGGAUGACGGCCUUCGGGUUGUAAACCUCUUUCAGCAGGGAAGAAGCGAAAGUGACGGUACCUGCAGAAGAAGCGCCGGCUAACUACGUGCCAGCAGCCGCGGUAAUACGUAGGGCGCAAGCGUUGUCCGGAAUUAUUGGGCGUAAAGAGCUCGUAGGCGGCUUGUCACGUCGGAUGUGAAAGCCCGGGGCUUAACCCCGGGUCUGCAUUCGAUACGGGCAGGCUAGAGUUCGGUAGGGGAGAUCGGAAUUCCUGGUGUAGCGGUGAAAUGCGCAGAUAUCAGGAGGAACACCGGUGGCGAAGGCGGAUCUCUGGGCCGAUACUGACGCUGAGGAGCGAAAGCGUGGGGAGCGAACAGGAUUAGAUACCCUGGUAGUCCACGCCGUAAACGGUGGGCACUAUGUGUGGGCAACAUUCCACGUUGUCCGUGCCGCAGCUAACGCAUUAAGUGCCCCGCCUGGGGGAGUACGGGCCGCAAGGCUAAAACUC